GUGAACGCUGGCGGCGUGCUUAACACAUGCAAGUCGAACGGUAACAGGAAGUAGUUUGCUACUUUGCUGACGAGUGGCGCACGGGUGAGUAAUAUAUAGUUAAUGUGCCUCGAAGACUGGGAUAGCCACUGGAAACGGUGAUUAAUACUAGAUACGCCUUUUUAACUUAAGUUACAUCGGGAAACGUAUUUUCGCUUCGAGAUAAGACUAUAUCCUAUCAGUUAGUUGGUGAGGUAAUGGCUCACCAAGGCAAUGACCGGUAGCUGGUCUGAGAGGAUGAUCCGCCACACUGGUACUGAGACACGGACCAGACUCCUACGGGAGGCAGCAGUGAGGAAUAUUGCACAAUGGGGGGAACCCUGAUGCAGCAACGCCGCGUGGAGGAUGACGCAUUUCGGUGUGUAAACUCCUUUUAUAUGUCAAGAAAAUGACGGUAGCAUAUGAAGAAGCACCGGCUAACUCCGU
rnacentral:rRNA from 1 species